UGUGGGUCAGCGACCUGUGCCCAGGUGGACUAAUCCCCGUAAAAAAAAAAUGUGUGGGGAAGCAUCUUCCUCUCAAGCAAGGGUUACCUCAUGAAUGUGGAGGGGUAUUGAUGACAGUUAUGAUAUUGAACGUGAGAUGUUGGAGGGAAUGUAUCAGCGUAUUAAAGCGCAAGAGUUUUGACCUGGUCAUGAUCACGUUACUCAAGUUCUAAAGGUGCAACAGACUAGGCAAAAAGCCCAAUUUGGCUCUACCUCAUCGUCGACUUGUAUGUUAUUGUCGAUUGUAUGAGAUUCCCGAUAUGACAAAGAAAGAGAGGGUUGGAGUUCACCAGUGAGAAGUCUUCCUUUUCAAUGACCUUCCGGAAGUAACCAAGAUUUUCUCCAAAAAGAAAAGUUCUGUAACAUAUACAUUUAGGCAGAGCUUCCCUCUUGCCGGUCUUGCUGUUUCCAUCAAGGAAGUGCCACGUAUGUACUGUACAGUAAUAGUCUGUUUAAAUAUCAUUUGGAUUGGUAUAGGAAAUGAAAUUACAAUGUUGAAUGUUACCUUUCUCUACCAAAAUUUAAUAAGAGAAGCUAAAAUAACCUACACCUGAAUUAAUAAUGUAAAUUUUAUUCAACACCGUGUGGACAAUAUAGUACUGAUAAUUUUCAAUGCACGCAGUGAACAUGAUCAUACCAAAUUUUGUGAAGAUUUGAAGGAAAAUGUGUGUGAAAUGGAUGAGAUGGAAACUCUUAGAAUUGAAGGGGAGCUGGAGAGACAAGGCAUCUUUAAGAGCAUCAAGACCCAGUUCUAUGGCCAAGAACCGUGACUGGUGUAGCUGAUAUGGAAUUACUGACUGCCAAUGAAAAAAAUGGAACUCUUUAAAGCUGAUUCUACUUUAAAGAGAUCAGCUCUUAGCAAUUCUCUGUUGGAUAUGCAUGAGGCUGGUAAGUGUAAUUUAUCUUCUUAGGGAAGUUCCAGGUAUGUACAGUAUGUAUUACCUUUUCCAAGAAUUUGCUCACAAGAAAGUUAUAGUAUAGUGAUGAUAGCAAUGAAGAUUCAUGUGUAAUCAAUUUUGUGUAAUGUGUAAUCACCUCAGAAACCCAUACCGGUAGUUAGCUAGUAAUUAGCUCUGAAAAAAUUUCAUUGCAAAUUUCCGAGUUUCAAUACGCCCACUAAUACCCACAAUCAAUUUGUGGGCCAUAGAUUCAGACUCAGCAUGCUCAGGAUUACUGUUCCUAUAUUGAGAUUUUGGGCCAAAAUGGUAAGCAUAAUGGCUUAAAUUCCAAGAGAAAAAGUAUACAGUGGUCCCUCAGUUAACGAGCACAA